UCAGAUUUCUGAAAGGUUAUAUAUUGUAAAGAAUAUCCAUAUAUGGUAAUUUAUUAGGGUUUUUUAAGUAUUUUCCUGAGGUUCAAGAUUGUUUUCAGAACAAAUAGAUUGG